rnacentral:rRNA from 1 species
AGAGUUUGAUCAUGGCUCAGAUUGAACGCUGGCGGCAGGCCUAACACAUGCAAGUCGAGCGGUAACAGAAAGUAGCUUGCUACUUUGCUGACGAGCGGCGGACGGGUGAGUAAUGCUUGGGAACAUGCCUUGAGGUGGGGGACAACAGUUGGAAACGACUGCUAAUACCGCAUAAUGUCUACGGACCAAAGGGGGCUUCGGCUCUCGCCUUUAGAUUGGCCCAAGUGGGAUUAGCUAGUUGGUGAGGUAAUGGCUCACCAAGGCAACGAUCCCUAGCUGGUUUGAGAGGAUGAUCAGCCACACUGGAACUGAGACACGGUCCAGACUCCUACGGGAGGCAGCAGUGGGGAAUAUUGCACAAUGGGCGAAAGCCUGAUGCAGCCAUGCCGCGUGUGUGAAGAAGGCCUUCGGGUUGUAAAGCACUUUCAGUCAGGAGGAAAGGGUGUGAGUUAAUACCUCAUAUCUGUGACGUUACUGACAGAAGAAGCACCGGCUAACUCCGUGCCAGCAGCCGCGGUAAUACGGAGGGUGCGAGCGUUAAUCGGAAUUACUGGGCGUAAAGCGUACGCAGGCGGUUUGUUAAGCGAGAUGUGAAAGCCCCGGGCUCAACCUGGGAACUGCAUUUCGAACUGGCAAACUAGAGUGUGAUAGAGGGUGGUAGAAUUUCAGGUGUAGCGGUGAAAUGCGUAGAGAUCUGAAGGAAUACCGAUGGCGAAGGCAGCCACCUGGGUCAACACUGACGCUCAUGUACGAAAGCGUGGGGAGCAAACGGGAUUAGAUACCCCGGUAGUCCACGCCGUAAACGAUGUCUACUAGAAGCUCGGACCUCGGUCUGUUUUCAAAGCUAACGCAUUAGUAGACCGCCUGGG